rnacentral:rRNA from 1 species
AUCGAUGAAGAACGCAGCGAAAUGCGAUAAGUAAUGUGAAUUGCAGAAUUCAGUGAAUCAUCGAAUCUUUGAACGCACAUUGCGCCCUUUGGUAUUCCGAAGGGCAUGCCUGUUCGAGCGUCAUUGCAACCCUCAAGCUCUGCUUGGUAUUGGGCUCCGUCUAUUACUGACGGGCCUUAAAAUCAGUGGCGGUGCCAUUAGGCUCUAAGCGUAGUAAUUUUUCUCGCUAUGGACGACUAGUGGAUACUUGCCAGUAACCCCUAAUUUUUAAAGGUUGACCUCGGAUCAGGUAGGGAUACCCGCUGAACUUAAGCAUAUCAAUAAGCGGAGGAAAAGAAACCAACAGGGAUUACCUCAGUAACGGCGAGUGAAGCGGUAACAGCUCAAAUUUGAAAUCUGCCUACAGGCCGAGUUGUAAUUUGUAGAAGAUGCUUCGGGUGUGGCUCCGGUCUAAGUUCAUUGGAACAUGACGUCAUAGAGGGUGAGAAUCCCGUAUGUGACUGGUUGCCUAUGCUCAUGUGAAGCUCUUUCAACGAGUCGAGUUGUUUGGGAAUGCAGCUCAAAAUGGGUGGUAUAUUUCAUCUAAAGCUAAAUAUUGGCCAGAGACCGAUAGCGCACAAGUAGAGUGAUCGAAAGAUGAAAAGCACUUUGGAAAGAGAGUUAAACAGUACGUGAAAUUGUUGAAAGGGAAGCGCUUGCAAUCAGACUUGCACGUUUUCGAUCAUCCGAUGUUCUCACCGGUGCACUCGAUUUCGUUCAGGCCAGCAUCGGUUUUGGUGGUUAGAUAAAGACUUUAGGAAUGUGGCUCUUUCGGGAGUGUUAUAGCCUAAGGUGUAAUGUAGCCUACCGGGACCGAGGACCGCGCUUCGGCUAGGAUGCUGGCGUAAUGGUUGUAAGCGACCCGUCUUGAAACACGG